UACGUAGGGGGCAAGCGUUGUCCGGAUUUAUUGGGCGUAAAGAGCGUGUAGGCGGCCUGAUAGGUCGGUUGUGAAAACUGGAGGCUUAACCUUCAGACGUCGGCCGAAACCAUCUGGCUAGAGUCCGGAAGAGGAGAGUGGAAUUCCUGGUGUAGCGGUGAAAUGCGCAGAUAUCAGGAAGAACACCCGUGGCUAAGGCGGCUCUCUAGUACGGUACUGACGCUGAGGUGCGAAAGCGUGGGGAGCAAACAGG
rnacentral:rRNA from 1 species